AUCCUUUUGUAGUUCCUAAGUGUGAUGAUUAGGUUUUCAUGCUCAUGUGUGACAUAUGCCUCCUUCAAAUCUCAUUAGGACACCAGCACAUUACCCAUCUGACA
rnacentral:snoRNA from 1 species